AUCUCCUGUUACCAGCACAGAGCCCUCCGGCCUGAGGGACAGCCGGGUGCCAGGACUGGAAGUGCAACAAGGCUCCGAUUGCUGGUGAGGCUGAGAGAGGCUGUUCCCCUCCAAAACCUCUGUGAUUGCUCUCGAGAGAAAACUUUUCAGCAGAGAACGGAGAUCCAGUGAAACCAGAAUGAUUCAUUGGUGUUCAACCUGAGAAUUUAUUUCUUUUGAUAUGCCCUGUGUAUGGAGGCACCAUGUUGGUUCUGAUUUAUUUUGUGAAAGGAGAGUAGGGGAGAAAAAUCUGCGCUUUUCUGUGGCUUCAGCUCAAGAUGAGAUCAAUGGAAAUUGGUGGAUCUUUAGGACCCCCCCAGAAAUUAUCCAGGACAAGAGGAAGAAGUGUUUCGACCCUCAGGAAUAAAGUGGCUACCAACCUUUGGUGUUAUGACCCCACAAAUGACUGAUACCAGGUUGCUUCAUUCUCAUCCACCACGGGGCAAAGAUCUUCCAAACACUCAGGAAGGCUCUGCAGGAACACUGGGAUCGCAUCUUCCAGAGGAGUUUUGUUGGACCUGGACACUCACUGGGAUUUUGCAGUCAGUUCUGCACAUCAGGACAGGAAGAAUUGGAAGGAAAAUCAGCUGUGGACAAAACUGGC
rnacentral:lncRNA from 1 species